GGAAGCGUGCCUGAACACAAAGGGCCACUGUGAUAAAGUGGACAUAGAGGUAAAUCAGCCCUCUCGCCUCCU
rnacentral:tRNA from 1 species